rnacentral:rRNA from 1 species
UUUAUUGGAGAGUUUGAUCCUGGCUCAGGAUGAACGCUGGCGGCGUGCCUAAUACAUGCAAGUCGAGCGAAUGGAUUAAGAGCUUGCUCUUAUGAAGUUAGCGGCGGACGGGUGAGUAACACGUGGGUAACCUGCCCAUAAGACUGGGAUAACUCCGGGAAACCGGGGCUAAUACCGGAUAACAUUUUGAACUGCAUGGUUCGAAAUUGAAAGGCGGCUUCGGCUGUCACUUAUGGAUGGACCCGCGUCGCAUUAGCUAGUUGGUGAGGUAACGGCUCACCAAGGCAACGAU